rnacentral:rRNA from 1 species
UACGGGGGGGGGCAAGCGUUGUUCGGAAUUACUGGGCGUAAAGGGCUCGUAGGCGGCCAACUAAGUCAGACGUGAAAUCCCCUCGGCUUAACCGGGGGAACUGCGUCUGAUACUGGAUGGCUAGAGUUUGGGAGAGGGAUGCGGAAUUCCAGGUGUAGCGGUGAAAUGCGUAGAUAUCUGGAGGAACACCGGUGGCGAAGGCGGCAUCCUGGACCAACACUGACGCUGAGGAGCGAAAGCCAGGGGAGCAAACGGG